rnacentral:rRNA from 1 species
GUCCAUGCCGUAAACGAUGAAUACUCGAUGUUGGCGAUAUACUGUCAGCGUUCAAGCGAAAGCAUUAAGUAUUCCACCUGGGGAGUACGAUCGCAAGGUUGAAACUCAAAGGAAUUGACGGGGGCCCCGCACAAGCGGUGGAGCAUGUGGUUUAAUUCGAUGAUACGCGAGGAACCUUACCAGGGCUUAAAUGGUAUUAGACCGUUGCCGAAAGGUGACUUUCUUUUAGACUGAUAUCAAGGUGCUGCAUGGCUGUCGU